rnacentral:rRNA from 1 species
AACGAACGCUGGCGGCAUGCCUAACACAUGCAAGUCGAACGAGACCUUCGGGUCUAGUGGCGCACGGGUGCGUAACGCGUGGGAAUCUGCCCUUGGGUUCGGAAUAACAGUUGGAAACGACUGCUAAUACCGGAUGAUGACGUAAGUCCAAAGAUUUAUCGCCCAAGGAUGAGCCCGCGUAGGAUUAGCUAGUUGGUGAGGUAAAGGCUCACCAAGGCGACGAUCCUUAGCUGGUCUGAGAGGAUGAUCAGCCACACUGGGACUGAGACACGGCCCAGACUCCUACGGGAGGCAGCAGUGGGGAAUAUUGGACAAUGGGCGAAAGCCUGAUCCAGCAAUGCCGCGUGAGUGAUGAAGGCCUUAGGGUUGUAAAGCUCUUUUACCCGGGAUGAUAGAUGACAGUACCGGGAGAAUAAGUCCCG